ACAUGCCCACAACAUAGUGUUAAUGCACUGGAUCCCAUUGGAACUACGUAGUUAAGCACACUCAGGCUAGAGUAGUAUUGGGAUGGGUGACCACCCUGGAAGUCCUAGUGUUUUACAUGCC
rnacentral:rRNA from 1 species